GCUGGCUGCAUGCUUAACACAUGCAAGUCGAACGGCAGCACGGGAGCUUGCUCCUGGUGGCGAGUGGCGGACGGGUGAGUAAUGCAUAGGAAUCUGCCCAGUAGUGGGGAACAACCUGGUGAAAACCAGGCUAAUACCGCAUACGACCUACGGGUGAAAGAGGGGGCUCUUCGGACCUCUUGCUAUUGGAUGAGCCUAUGUCUGAUUAGCUAGUUGGUGGGGUAAAGGCCUACCAAGGCGACGAUCAGUAGCUGGUCUGAGAGGAUGAUCAGCCACACUGGGACUGAGACACGGCCCAGACUCCUACGGGAGGCAGCAGUGGGGAAUAUUGGACAAUGGGGGCAACCCUGAUCCAGCAAUGCAGCGUGUGUGAAGAAGGCCUGCGGGUUGUAAAGCACUUUCAAUAGGGAGGAAAAGCUG
rnacentral:rRNA from 1 species